rnacentral:lncRNA from 1 species
GGUUUCUGAGGCAUCAGUGGAAGAGGAGGGGGAGCCCAGAGCACUCAGGUGCACUGGGAGUCUCCACCCUGCUGGCCACGUGGGCUGGUAACAGCGGCUACGCAGUGAAGCUUCAUCCGUGGCCUCACACGGGAAAUGCUGACACAGCGCUACGCUCAUCAAUCAGGGGACAGCGAUGCCAAUUAUUUAUUUACCAAUAAGGAGUUUCAGGAGCCUCCCUUGCCCUGCACCAGAUUCUGUGUGCCGGAGAAUCUGCUCUUAUCAUGGGAAGUGUCCUGGAGAGGGUGGCUCUGCCUUCUCUGACUGGGCAGGUCCUCCUCACCCAGAGAGAGGACCAGAGCAGCUGCACACACUCUGCUGGAGGCUUCUCCUGGCUCUGCUCCCACUCGUUUCCACCUGGGAGCUUCAGAGCCAGCCCUACCUCUGCCCACACCUGCCCUACCCCUGCCCACACCUGCUCACACCUAAUCCUACCCCUGCCCACAUCUGCCCACACCUGCCCUACCCCUGCCCACACCUGCCUAUGCUUAUCCUACCCCUGCCCACACCUGCCCACACCUGCCCUACCCCUGCCCACACCUGCCUAUGCUUAUCCUACCCCUGCCCACACCUGCCUAUGCUUAUCCUACCCCUGCCCACACCUGCCCACACCUAAUCCUACCCCUGCCCACAUCUGCCCCCACCUGCCCUACCCCUGUCCACACCUGUCACGCUUAUCCUACCCCUGCCCACACCUGCCCUACACCUACCCUACCCCUGCCCACACUUAUCCUACCCCUGCCCACACCUGUCCAUGCUUAUCCUACCCCUGCCCACACCUGUCCUACACCUACCCUACCCCUGCCCACACUUAUCCUACCCCUGCCCACACCUGUCCUACACCUGUCCACACCUGCCCAUAUCUGUCUUACACCUGCGCAUACCUGCCCACACUUAUCCUACCUCUGCUCACACCUGCCCACACCUGUCCUACACCUGUCCACACCUGCCCAUAUCUGUCUUACACCUGCGCAUACCUGCCCACACUUAUCCUACCUCUGCUCACACCUGCCCACACCUGUCCUACACCUGUCCACACCUGCCCAUAUCUGUCUUACACCUGCACAUACCUGCCCACACUUAUCCUACGUCUGCUCACACCUGCCCACACCUAUCCUACACCUGUCCACA